CCUACGGGUGGCAGCAGUGGGGAAUAUUGCACAAUGCGGGAAACCCUGAUGCAGCGACGCCGCGUGAGAGACGAAGUAAUUCGUUAUGUAAAGCUCUAUCAGCAGGGAAGAAAAUGACGGUACCUGAGUAAGAAGCCCCGGCCAACUACGUGCUAGCAACCGCGGGAAUACGGAGGGGGCAAGCGUUAUCCGGAAUUACUGGGUGUAAAGGGAGCGUAGACGGCAGUGCAAGUCUGGAGUGAAAGGCGGGGGCUCAACCCUCGGACUGCUCUGGAAACUGUACGUCUGGAGUGCAGGAGAGGAAAGUGGAAUUCCUAGUGUAGCGGUGAAAUGCGUAGAUAUUAGGAGGAACACCAGUGGCGAAGGCGGCUUACUGGACUGUAACUGACGUUGAGGCUCGAAAGCGUGGGGAGCAAACAGGAUUAGAUACCCGUGUAAUC
rnacentral:rRNA from 1 species